UACGUAGGGAGCAAGCGUUGUUCGGAUUUACUGGGCGUAAAGGGUGUGUAGGCGGUUGUUUAAGUUUGGUGUGAAAUCUCCCGGCUCAACUGGGAGGGUGCGCCGAAUACUGAAUGACUUGGAGUGCGGGAGAGGAGAGUGGAAUUCCUGGUGUAGCGGUGAAAUGCGCAGAUAUCAGGAAGAACACCCGUGGCUAAGGCGGCUCUCUAGUACGGUACUGACGCUGAGACGCGAAAGCGUGGGGAGCGAACAGG
rnacentral:rRNA from 1 species